AGCAGCCGCGGUAAUUCCAGCUCCAAUAGCGUAUAUUAAAGUUGUUGCAGUUAAAAAGCUCGUAGUUGAAUUUCGGGGUUAGUAAGUUGGUCAUGCCUUUGGUAUGCACUGGCUUUACUGAUUCCUCCUUCUUGACGAACCGUGAUGUCAUUAAUUUGGUGUUGCGGGAAAUCAGGACUGUUACUUUGAAAAAAUUAGAGUGUUUAAAGCAGGCUAACGCUUGAAUACAUUAGCAUGGAAUAAUGAAAUAGGACGUUAAUCCUAUUUUGUUGGUUUCUAGGAUCGACGUAAUGAUUAAUAGGGAUAGUUGGGGCAUUAGUAUUCAAUUGUCAGAGGUGAAAUUCUUGGAUUUAUUGAAGACUAACUACUGCGAAAGCAUUUGCCAAGGAUGUUUUCAUUAAUCAAGACGAAAGUUAGGGGAUCGAAGACGAUCAGAUACCGUCGUAGUCU
rnacentral:rRNA from 1 species